rnacentral:rRNA from 17 species
AAAACGACUCUCGGCAACGGAUAUCUUGGCUCUCGCAUCGAUGAAGAACGUAGCGAAAUGCGAUACUUGGUGUGAAUUGCAGAAUCCCGUGAACCAUCGAGUCUUUGAACGCAAGUUGCGCCCCAAGCCUUCUGGCCGAGGGCACGUCUGCCUGGGUGUCACAA